UACGUAGGGGGCAAGCGUUUGUCCGGAUUUAUUGGGCGUAAAGAGCGUGUAGGCGGCCUGGUAGGUCAGCUGUGAAAACUCGAGGCUCAACCUCGAGACGUCGGUUGAAACCACCUGGCUAGAGUCCGGAAGAGGAGAGUGGAAUUCCCGGUGAUAGCGGUGAAAUGCGCAGAUAUCGAAGGAGGAACCGAGCCGGUAGGGCGAAGCCGG
rnacentral:rRNA from 1 species